UACGGGGGGGGCAAGCGUUGUUCGGAAUUACUGGGCGUAAAGGGCUCGUAGGUGGCCAACUAAGUCAGACGUGAAAUCCCUCGGCUUAACCGGGGAACUGCGUCCGAUACUGGUUGGCUUGAGUUUGGGAGAGGGAUGCGGAAUUCCAGGUGUAGCGGUGAAAUGCGUAGAUAUCAGGAGGAACACCGGUGGCGAAGGCGGGUCUCUGGGCCGAUACUGACGCUGAGGAGCGAAAGCUAGGGGAGCAAACGGG
rnacentral:rRNA from 1 species